rnacentral:tRNA from 1 species
GGGCGCGUAGCUCAGCGGCCUAGAGCAGUCGGCUCAUAACCGAUCGGUCCCGGGUUCGAAUCCCGGCGCGCCCACCA